GGUUGCUUAAACAUUUGGAUCGUCAAGCAUUCUAUUGAUUUAGAUCAAACUGACCUCAGGGAAAUUGUUCUGAAGUUUAUCCUCAAAACAACCGACCAUGAUCUUGCUCAGUACCUUCUCCAUAUCCAUGUUACCAGUACGGAAGGACAUGAGAAGGUUGUCAUUUAUGUUUUCCUUUGUAUCAGCCAUAUGUUCAAUGAGCAAUUUGGCAAUGAAAUCAGAAAGUUUCUGAAUUUCAACAUUUGCAGGUGGCUGUUUCUCUGAUGUUGCUGGCAUGUCUAAGCGUCUACAAGAGACUGAGAAUUGUUCACAUUGGCAGGAUGCAUAACCAUGGGAGAUCUGAUAGACUUAUAGAACCCAUUUCCACCAUUAAUCUGCUUGCACUCAUGAUAUAAUUUAAGUGCUAAGAUGCAGUCAACCACCUUAGCUGCUGAUCCUGCCUCCAGUGUAUCCCUUUCAAGAUCAGAAGUUUCAAAGGCAGGCAGUUUCAACUCUUCAACAGCCACCAGAAAGUUCCUUACGUUUUCAAAAUACUGGUAGGCUGGUAAUGGCUGUGAUUGUAAAGGCGUAUGAUUCUCCGCAACCUUAGGUACUGCCCCGGGAUGAACCUUGUUAAUGGCA
rnacentral:misc_RNA from 1 species